AGGGGAGUGAAAAAGAACCUGAAACCGUGUACGUACAAGCAGUGGGAGCACGCUUAGGCGUGUGACUGCGUACCUUUUGUAUAAUGGGUCAGCGACUUAUAUUCUGUAGCAAGGUUAACCGAAUAGGGGAGCCGAAGGGAAACCGAGUCUUAACUGGGCGUUAAGUUGCAGGGUAUAGACCCGAAACCCGGUGAUCUAGCCAUGGGCAGGUUGAAGGUUGGGUAACACUAACUGGAGGACCGAACCGACUAAUGUUGAAAAAUUAGCGGAUGACUUGUGGCUGGGGGUGAAAGGCCAAUCAAACCGGGAGAUAGCUGGUUCUCCCCGAAAGCUAUUUAGGUAGCGCCUCGUGAAUUCAUCUCCGGGGGUAGAGCACUGUUUCGGCAAGGGGGUCAUCCCGACUUACCAACCCGAUGCAAACUGCGAAUACCGGAGAAUGUUAUCACGGGAGACACACGGCGGGUGCUAACGUCCGUCGUGAAGAGGGAAACAACCCAGACCGCCAGCUAAGGUCCCAAAGUCAUGGUUAAGUGGGAAACGAUGUGGGAAGGCCCAGACAGCCAGGAUGUUGGCUUAGAAGCAGCCAUCAUUUAAAGAAAGCGUAAUAGCUCACUGGUCGAGUCGGCCUGCGCGGAAGAUGUAACGGGGCUAAACCAUGCACCGAAGCUGCGGCAGCGACGCUGAUGCGUUGUUGGGUAGGGGAGCGUUCUGUAAGCCUGCGAAGGUGUGCUGUGAGGCAUGCUGGAGGUAUCAGAAGUGCGAAUGCUGACAUAAGUAACGAUAAAGCGGGUGAAAAGCCCGCUCGCCGGAAGACCAAGGGUUCCUGUCCAACGUUAAUCGGGGCAGGGUGAGUCGACCCCUAAGGCGAGGCCGAAAGGCGUAGUCGAUGGGAAACAGGUUAAUAUUCCUGUACUUGGUGUUACUGCGAAGGGGGGACGGAGAAGGCUAUGUUGGCCGGGCGACGGUUGUCCCGGUUUAAGCGUGUAGGCUGGUUUUCCAGGCAAAUCCGGAAAAUCAAGGCUGAGGCGUGAUGACGAGGCACUGCGGUGCUGAAGCAACAAAUGCCCUGCUUCCAGGAAAAGCCUCUAAGCAUCAGGUAACAUCAAAUCGUACCCCAAACCGACACAGGUGGUCAGGUAGAGAAUACCAAGGCGCUUGAGAGAACUCGGGUGAAGGAACUAGGCAAAAUGGUGCCGUAACUUCGGGAGAAGGCACGCUGAUAUGUAGGUGAAGUCCCUCGCGGAUGGAGCUGAAAUCAGUCGAAGAUACCAGCUGGCUGCAACUGUUUAUUAAAAACACAGCACUGUGCAAACACGAAAGUGGACGUAUACGGUGUGACGCCUGCCCGGUGCCGGAAGGUUAAUUGAUGGGGUUAGCGCAAGCGAAGCUCUUGAUCGAAGCCCCGGUAAACGGCGGCCGUAACUAUAACGGUCCUAAGGUAGCGAAAUUCCUUGUCGGGUAAGUUCCGACCUGCACGAAUGGCGUAAUGAUGGCCAGGCUGUCUCCACCCGAGACUCAGUGAAAUUGAACUCGCUGUGAAGAUGCAGUGUACCCGCGGCAAGACGGAAAGACCCCGUGAACCUUUACUAUAGCUUGACACUGAACAUUGAGCCUUGAUGUGUAGGAUAGGUGGGAGGCUU
rnacentral:rRNA from 1 species